CUUGGAGGAUGUAUAGCAAUAGCUACUUGCACCAAUAAAUAAUUGAUGUAAGAUCGACUAUGUUGAAUAAAAUUCUAGGUAGGAUUAUGAUGAUGACAUUGCCUGCCUAUGUGUCUUGACCAAAUUACGUGCCAGCAGUCGCGGUAAUACGUAGAAGACUAGUGUUAUUCAUCUUUAAUAGGUUUAAAGGGUACCUAGACGGUAAAUCAAGCCUUAAGGAGGGACUAAUUUACUAGAGUUACUUGUGAGGGGGUAUUAAAGUACUGCUGGUGUAGAGAUGAAAUUUUUUGAUACCUUUUUUCCUAAAGAAAAAUAAUGGCACAGGUAUAGGCGAAAGCAUCCCCUUAUGUGAUAACUGACGUUGAGGGACGAAGGCUUUGUGUAGCGAACAGGAUUAGAUACCCCAGUAGUCAAAGCAGAAAAUGAUGAAUGUCAUAGAUUAGAUAAAAAUAGUUUACUCUAUAAAUGAAAGUGUAAGCAUUCCACCUCAAGAGUAAUUUGGCAACAUUGGAACUGAAAUCAUUAGACCGUUUCUGAAACCAGUAGUGAAGUAUGUUGUUUAAUUUGAUAGCCCUCAAAAAACCUUACCACAAUUUGAAUAUUAAUAAAAUUUACCUUUUUUAACCUUAUUACUUUUUUUUUUGGACAUAAUAUGCACAAAUUAUAAAAGGAAUUAUAGAUUAAACAGGGUAAAAAUAUUUUUACAAGCGUUGCACGGCUGUUUUUAGUUAAUGUCGCGAGAUUUUGGUUAGUUCCAUUAAAUUAAUGUAAGCCCUUACUUUAUUUUUUAUAUAAAGUUGUUCCCCACUAGAUUGGAUAUGAUAACAGGGACUAAGACAAGUCAUCAUGACCUAAAUAUUGUGGGCUAUAGACGUGCCACAUAAACCUUACAAAAGGAUGUGAAAUUGUGAAAUUGAGCUA
rnacentral:rRNA from 1 species